rnacentral:miRNA from 1 species
CCUUCCAAAGUUUGCAAAUUUUGUAUACUUUUGUUUUGCAAUUUUCGCAUGCAAUACAAAAGUAUACAAAAUUUGCAAACUUUGUAA